AUACGGAGGACGCGAGCGUUAUCCGGAUUCAUUGGGUUUAAAGGGUGCGCAGGCGGCCGUGCAAGUCAGCGGUGAAAGCCCGGGGCUCAACCCCGGAAGUGCCGUUGAUACUGCGUGGCUGGAAUGCGGUCGAGGCGGGCUGAACGUGGCGUGUAGCGGUGAAAUGCGUAGAUAUGCCACAGAACGCCGAUAGCGGAGGCAGCUCGCCAGGCCUGCAUUGACGCUCGGGCACGAAAGCGUGGGGAUCGAACAGGAUUAGAUACCCUGGUAGUCCACGCCGUAAACGAUGGGCGCUCGUCGUCGGCGGCAGACAGUCGGCGGCCAAGCGAAAGCGAUAAGCGCCCCACCUGGGGAGUACGGUCGCAAGGCUGAAACUCAAAUGAAUUGACGGGG
rnacentral:rRNA from 1 species